UGAAACAUCUAAGUACCUGAAGGAAGAGAAAGAAAUUCGAUUCCGUAAGUAGCGGCGAGCGAACGCGGAUUAGCCAAAACCAAUAAAGUUUUCUUUAUUGGGGUUGCGGACAUAUCAUAACGAAGAGAUAUCGUAAUUGAAGAGGUUUGGAAAGACCCACCACAGAAGGUAAUAGUCCUGUAUGUUAAACGAGAAGACUUUA
rnacentral:rRNA from 1 species